AGAGUUUGAUCCUGGCUCAGGAUGAACGCUAGCGGCAAGCUUAACACAUGCAAGUCGAGGGGUAUAGUAGCAAUACUAGAGACCGGCGCACGGGUGCGUAACGCGUAUGCAAUCUACCUUUUGCAGAGGGAUAGCCCAGAGAAAUUUGGAUUAAUACCUCAUAGUAUAUAGAGUUGGCAUCAACAUUAUAUUAAAGUCACAACGGCAAAAGAUGAGCAUGCGUCCCAUUAGCUAGUUGGUAAGGUAACGGCUUACCAAGGCAACGAUGGGUAGGGGUCCUGAGAGGGAGAUCCCCCACACUGGUACUGAGACACGGACCAGACUCCUACGGGAGGCAGCAGUGAGGAAUAUUGGACAAUGGGCGCAAGCCUGAUCCAGCCAUGCCGCGUGCAGGAUGACGGUCCUAUGGAUUGUAAACUGCUUUUAUACGAGAAGAAACAUCCCCGACGUGUCGGGACUUGACGGUAUCGUAAGAAUAAGGAUCGGCUAACUCCGUGCCAGCAGCCGCGGUAAUACGGAGGAUCCAAGCGUUAUCCGGAAUCCUUGGGUUUAAAGGGUCC
rnacentral:rRNA from 1 species